rnacentral:pre_miRNA from 1 species
AAAGUACUCCCUCUGUCCCAAAAUUCUUGUCUUAGAUUUGUCUAGAUACAGAUGUAUCAAAAAAUGUGACUUGAUACAUCCGUAUCUAGACAAAUCUAAGACAAGAAAUUUUGGACAGAGGGAGUAGUUG